AGGCCUUGGCAUGCUUUCAGGAAGUCACCAACAGAUAUUGCCGAGAAAAGAAAUCUACAUUGUGCCGAAUGUUUAUCAUCAAUGCUGGCCCUGGUUUUAGGUUGCUGUGGAGGACAAAAUACUGUGACAAUGUCUAGCAGUUGUUUUUGACAUGCUUCUCUAAUUUGGAAGGGCAGGGUUCUCAGAGUUUGAUGAAUAUGUUCCCAUGGUAGACAAAGCUAUGGAUUCAAGCUAGAAGAAAGAAGCGUCCCAUCAAAAGCUCCUGUCUCCUAGAAGUAUGCAAGUAUAUAUUAGAUUUCAUUAGGGAGUUGCAGGCUUUUGCAAGUCAAUGGUUAUAUGUUGUUAUAUGAGGUAUCAUAUUUAGUGGAUUCCAUUUAU